rnacentral:lncRNA from 1 species
AGGUGGGUGUAUCAUCGGUUUCGCUCCUAAGUGCAUGUUUAGUCGACGUGUAUAGUUCGAUUUUUGUAUAUCAUGCUUUAAUUCAUCGAUUAGCAUUUUGGACGUAAUAUGAAUAUAAAAGCAUGCUGAAAUGAAUGUUUAUAUUAUACAUGUUGGACUUGAAAUUUGACUUAGGAGAAAACCCGCAUUUUUGACCCGUCAUAUGCUUAAACUACCAGAUUUAGCUCUAGGAGCCGAAAUUCGAUUGUAUCGUUGCAGUAUUAGUGCGAUGGAUACCUGGAGUAGUUUAGAUGACAUUUACGCUCGUGCUGAGGUGCCGAGCUUAUUUUUCAGCAGAGUGUAGGCUGUUUCGGGUCGUUGGAUGCCGUUCGGGUUAGCGGUGGACCCAGAUUCUUGUUUUGGUCACAGAUUGUGCCGAGGGCACGUGGGUUUGGUUUGUAGACCUGUUUUGACCCUGUUUACUUGACUUUGGCUAGUUGGAGCCUGAUUGAGCUCGACAGAAAUACGCUGCAUACUCGGUUGGGUAGUGCCCACGAGUGCCACUCCGGAGUCAGGCUUUGUGCUUUCGCGUUGGUGUCGCUUAUGCCAGUUGGACUUGCUCUCCACGGACCAGUUAGGGUGGAUAGAGCCUGAUAGUCGCAACGGGCAGGGACGGGUGUAUUCACAGUCCCGGAGACGGGUAUGCUUACAGUCCCGAUUGGAUUGGGUCAGGUUGG